rnacentral:rRNA from 1 species
CAGUCGCCGCGGGAAUACGGAGGGUGCAAGCGUUAAUCGGAAUUACUGGGCGUAAAGCGUGCGUAGGCGGUUCGUUAAGUCUGUUGUGAAAGCCCCGGGCUCAACCUGGGAAUGGCAAUGGAUACUGGCGAGCUAGAGUGUGUCAGAGGAUGGUGGAAUUCCCGGUGUAGCGGUGAAAUGCGUAGAGAUCGGGAGGAACAUCAGUGGCGAAGGCGGCCAUCUGGGACAACACUGACGCUGAGGCACGAAAGCGUGGGGAGCAAACAGGAUUAGAUACCCGAGUAGUCCCUGUCUCUUAUAA